rnacentral:rRNA from 1 species
CCUACGGGAGGCAGCAGUGGGGAAUUUUGGACAAUGGGCGAAAGCCUGAUCCAGCAAUGCCGCGUGAGUGAAGAAGGCCUUCGGGUUGUAAAGCUCUUUUGUCAGGGAAGAAACGGUGAGAGCUAAUAUCUCUUGCUAAUGACGGUACCUGAAGAAUAAGCACCGGCUAACUACGUGCCAGCAGCCGCGGUAAUACGUAGGGUGCAAGCGUUAAUCGGAAUUACUGGGCGUAAAGCGUGCGCAGGCGGUUUUGUAAGUCUGAUGUGAAAUCCCCGGGCUCAACCUGGGAAUUGCAUUGGAGACUGCAAGGCUAGAAUCUGGCAGAGGGGGGUAGAAUUCCACGUGUAGCAGUGAAAUGCGUAGAUAUGUGGAGGAACACCGAUGGCGAAGGCAGCCCCCUGGGUCAAGAUUGACGCUCAUGCACGAAAGCGUGGGGAGCAAACAGGAUUAGAUACCCUGGUAGUCCACGCCCUAAACGAUGUCUACUAGUUGUCGGGUCUUAAUUGACUUGGUAACGCAGCGACGCGUGAGUAGACCGUCCGUGGGUAGGUUACGGUUCGUCGAGAAGUUAAACGUUAACGAAGGAAGUAGACGGCGUUGAGACGUUGCCGACGGACGACCGACGAGGGGAGGAGG